UACGGAAGGGGCUAGCGUUGUUCGGAAUCACUGGGCGUAAAGCGCGCGUAGGCGGCCGGUCAAGUGCGGCGUGAAAGUCCUGGGCUCAACCCGGGGACGGCGCUGCGGACUGUCCGGCUGGAGUCCGGAAGAGGGUGGUGGAACUCCGAGUGUAGAGGUGAAAUUCGUAGAUAUUCGGAAGAACACCAGUGGCGAAGGCGACACACUGGCCCGUUACUGACGCUGAGGCGCGAAAGCGUGGGGAGCAAACAGG
rnacentral:rRNA from 1 species